CCCAUUUCUGGGCUCCGGGUAUUUGGCAUCCAUUGGGGCCGGGGACGCGGAGCAGGUGGUCGCGGCGGGGCGGCGGCGGGGCAGCUGGGCCGCCAGCCUGGUGCGUCGGGGACCGUCUCCCGCUGCUUUGGUCACCAGCCCCUGCCCGCCCGACCCGCUCCGUUCUCUGGCCUGCGAGCCCUGCCGCCCGGACUUGGCGCCGCGUCCGGUGCUGCUGCUGCGCUCGGGGCCCCGCUCAGCGCCGGCGGUGGCCGGGAAGCCCCCGUUAAAGGGUCAGCCGGGACCCCGGCCCAAUAUGGCUGAAGUCAGCAUCGACCAGUCCAAGCUACCUGGAGUCAAGGAAGUAUGCCGAGAUUUUGCUGUCCUGGAGGACCACACCCUGGCUCACAGCCUGCAGGAACAGGAGAUUGAGCAUCAUUUGGCAUCAAACGUUCAGCGGAACCGUUUGGUCCAGCAUGAUCUCCAGGUGGCUAAGCAGCUCCAAGAGGAAGAUCUGAAAGCGCAGGCCCAGCUCCAGAAGCGCUACAAAGACCUUGAACAACAAGACUGUGAAAUUGCUCAGGAAAUUCAGGAGAAGCUGGCUAUUGAGGCAGAGAGACGACGCAUUCAGGAGAAGAAGGAUGAGGACAUAGCUCGCCUUUUGCAAGAGAAGGAGUUACAGGAAGAAAAGAAGAGAAAGAAACACUUUCCAGAGUUCCCAGCAACCCGUGCUUAUGCAGAUAGUUACUAUUAUGAAGAUGGAGGAAUUAAGCCAAGAGUGACGAAAGAAACUAUACCUGCUCCGUCACGAACGACCCACAGGGAUCAGGAAUGGUAUGAUGCUGAAAUUGCCAGAAAAUUACAAGAAGAAGAACUUUUGGCUACCCAGGUGGACAUGAGAGCCGCUCAAAGUAGCUCAGGAUGAAGAAAUCGCUCGACUUCUAAUGGCUGAAGAAAAGAAAGCUUACAAAAAAGCCAAGGAGCGGGAGAAAUCAUUUUUGGACAAAAGAAAGCAAGACCCUGAGUGGAAGCCCAAAGCAGCUAAAGCAGCAUAUUCAAAGUCGAAAGAGAGUGAUGAACUUCACCGUUCUAAGAAUGAAAGGCCAGCACGGCCACCACCACCUAUCAUGACAGAUGGUGAAGAUUUGGAUUACACUCAUUUUACAAACCAGCAGAGUCCCACACGGCAUUUCUCAAAAUCAGAGUCCUCUCAUAAAGGUUUUCAUUACAAGCAUUAAAAACCUAGGAAUCUGCCUUGAAAAUGGACUCACUAUAGCAAAUAUUACUGGGUGAUACAGAAUGAAUUCUACACUUAUUUUUUUCUCCUGUGUUUGCAUUCCUGGGAUUUAUCCUCAAGUGUAUUUCUGACCAUAAAUAAUUUUUGAGUCAUUUAAAAUAUUUUGGUUAUUUGUAAUCACUUGGGCAG